rnacentral:lncRNA from 1 species
GCUGCGCACUUCGGUCUUUUACGUCGGCCUUCGCGAGCGUCUGGGCGGGUGGUAGGUGAGUGGGUAUUGCGGGCUAGUAUCCGAGCAAAAGAUGGUGGCGCAGGCCGAGUUAAGAGCUUUAAUCCUGUGAAGACAUCUUAGUGAAGAGUUUAGAGUGCUGAGAGUUGAAAGCUUGCACGUGGGAAACGUGCGGCCGGACUGCCACAUGUACUGAGGUUGAGUCGUGACGGCCACAGGCUCCGAGUUUUGGCGUGAGGAACCGCUGAUCGGCCACGGGCGCCGAACUUGCUGGCCUCCGGCAUGUGCCUGAGCGGCGGCGGAAAAACCACCUUAAUUGGGGCGGAGGGUUAGUUUUAACAGCAAAGGGCCUUUACUAAAAUGGCGAAGGCCUUCCGUCGGCGUUGUUUUAAAAUGGGAAGCCUCGACCCUGUAUUGAAACUGAGCUGUUCGAAGGCGGCGUUGUGUGCAAUUCGGAUUAAUGAAGGGGAAGGGUUUUGUGUGGAAAAACGCCUUGGAGUGUGACAUUUCUGCGAGAAUGCUUAAAUACCGAUUUCCCGCAGGAACAAUGGCGCUGUCUUCAGUGGCACAGUGGAGCAGCUCUGAAGAUGCAAAGAUACACGAAAAAACUUCCAGAACAUCUGGGAGAAUAUUUAAUGGAAAAUCGCUUGGUUAAAACCUGACACUUUUAACAGGUAUGUGUUGUUUUAGUACUUUAUGAUUGAGCAUAGCAUUUAAUCCACACCUAGACUAAAUCAAAUUUUUUUUGUCAGUGAACAGCGUUCUGAGUGUGGACGAGUAGCCAGUGAAGAUAAUGAAUGUCGAAUGUGACUGACUAGCAGCUUCAUUUUGAAUGAGGGUCGCUGUCUGCCCAUUGAUAGAGGCCAGAUUGUCUUGGAAGUUCCAAAGUUGCAACGAUUUCUGUAAGUGGAGUUUUUCUGUUUGCUUAGAGAUCAGUGAAUAUUGUGUCCUUGGUCUUAUCUGUGAUGAUCUUAUCCCGAACCUGAACUUCUGUUGAAAAAAAAAAACUUUUACGGAUCUGGCUUCUGAGAUGGACCGUUAUAAGGACAAUAUUUUUUUUUAAUACUUUUAAUGCUUUUACAUAUGUUGUAAUGUUUGUAGUCUUGUAAGAAUCUCGUGUUUUUCCUUUUCUAGGGCUAGUGCCACGAGGUUUACUUGACUGUUGUGUGAAAAGCUGAUAAGAAAACCAUCCAGAAAAAAGCUCUUCGUUUUACAAACAUGAAAAUAAAACAUGUAAUUUUGGAUUA